UUCGUGGACUUUUAUUUUUUUUCUUAGGGGGAAUGGGGAGUGCAUGAGAAUGACAUGAGCAUAAAUACAACCUGCGCACUCUUAUCAGCGGGACCGAGAAGCUCGCUGGUGUGUUUGGUAAUUUUUCUCUCCUCUCCUGAUGGGUGACAUCCGCUGUUGUUUUGAUUUCUUCACUGGUUGGUGGUGUAGAAGCACGCUGCACGUCUUCCUGUUCGCCGAUUUAACGCUGCUGGAAGAACAAAUGCUUAAGGGGCAACUUGUGCCCUCUUUGGAAAGUUCCAGGUAGUCUUGCAUCUUACAGGUGCAGCUCAAACCUGCAGUUUUUCCCUCCACCUUCUAGACGUGUGCUCUCAGGGGAAUGCUUAUAUGUGUAGCAUAUUCAAGAUCUGCCCUGACACUGCGAUUCAACAAUCAACACAGUAAAUUAAAUCCUAUAAGCUCCAGGCUUCAGCAGUUGGUCACUGACAAUGCGGCAUCAAUGGCUCUGCAAUAGCCUCCAUUGCCUAAGUACAUGGGGAGAAUGGGACUAUAAUGGACAUGAGGAUGAGGAGUCAUCUGAAUCGCCUGCUGAUCACACCGCCUGCCCAUUGAAGAUGGGGGGGAGGGUUUUAAUGGGUGUUGUUUUAUCAGGUGCAAAUAAAGCAUCAGCUUUAUAAUUACAGGCCUACAAUCUUCAUCUGCAUUAAAAUA